rnacentral:lncRNA from 1 species
UACGGUCUCCGUCCCCGAUUAUGGCUCCUGGUCUCUCAUAGUGUUGCCCAAACUACAAAAUGAAAGCUAACCGCAAGCAAAUCGGGCAAACCUUCGUGGAACUAACCCCAAGCAAACCGGAAUGGAAAACUAACCUCCAACUUAUUAAUAUCCCAAAAACUACGGUCUUUCGGACAACAAAAACAAGACGUAAGCAGGCGCGUUUUAUUUCAGUCCCAGACCAUUUUCGGCUUGGUUGACGCUUUGUCCUUAGUCGCAUUCUCAAGACGAACCGUGAGAUGAAGGGUGAUCAUUGUCGGCUGUUCGUACACCCUGGUAUACCGCACACAAAAGUAGGCCCCGGUUGCUCAAAAGAUAGAUGACCAUAGAUAAGUGUCAGCCACUAUCCACUGGAUAGUGAGUUAUCCGAUGGACAGCGUUAUCCACCUUUCGAACAACCCUAGUCUGCGUAGCAGCCGUUUCCUUUCCUUUUCCAGACGGAGAGAUCGAGCAAGCGGAUGAGCGAAGGAGCGGGCCUGGGGUGAUCUCUCCUCACCUCCUCCCCCUUAUUUUUCGCACUCACUUGCAGUUUCGUUUCCUUCCUGUGCUUUUUUGGAAACGCCUGGAAACGCCUGGCUACGCAGGCUAGAACAACCCGGGCCACAGACCAGCCACAGAAAUUACGACAUGCCACCUGCCCGGCCCACUCGCCCGCGCGUGAAAGGCCGCGUAAGGACUGGACAGAACAGAGUAGAGGAGGGUACUGAGGCCAUGUUUUCCACAAUUCAAAUGGUUCAGCAAGUAAAGCUGUGUAGUAACAUACACGAUAAGAUUUGAGGAUUCUGUUCCAUUUCUUUGAGGAGUUGAGGCUGAAGAGGAAAUGACAGAGUUUAAUUAAAGAACUUCAUUUUGUUGGUGUAUGAUCAAAACAUUUUUGGAUCUUCUUUGGAAGUCUUCGGUUAUCUUCCGAACUCUUCAGAUAUCUUCGGACAAAUUUUGGCGAAUCUUUGGAAAUCUUCAGAAAGUGGUUGGAAAUCUUCGGAAAAUCGCCAUAUAAUGCUUCCUCCAUGAAAUGUCCACUUCAGCAUGCCCCUUGACUGUUCUCAUGGACAGUACACGGAACUCCCUUGGGGGACCU